AUUCGAGCCUUGCUGUCUCCCGCUUUCAGCAGUGGAAAACUCAAAGAGAUGUUCUCCAUCAUUGAACAGUAUGGAGAUAUUUUGGUAAAAUACUUGAGAAGAGAGGCAGAGAAAGGCAAGCCUCUCA